CGGGCGGUAAAGGCCGCGCUCUAAGCCA
rnacentral:sRNA from 1 species